rnacentral:misc_RNA from 1 species
UGAAAAGGCUGGUGAACGAGUAAUUUGAUAAGGAGAAGAAGGGAAAGCAUGUGUAGCCUGUAAUGGAGAUGAUGGAUUUGAAUGUAAAAUUUUAAAUCUAUUCGUUGUGGGAAUAAAGUUUUGUGCAUAAUCACUACGGGAUACUUUUUUCUUAAUGAGAGUGCCAAUUAAGUUUUCUUCUUAAAAAUUUGUAAGCUUAUUUCUUGCAAAAAUUCACGACUAAGAAAAUUGGGUAAAGAACUUGAAGUGCCUUCAAUAUAUUCAAUAUAAAAAUAAAAAUUCCUAAUAAAGCUUGCUAUCUUGCAAAAAUUGUUUUGAAAUGAAAUUUUUAACAUCUUUUUGUCAAACAUAUUUUGUAGCUGAGCAAUCAAUUCUUC